UGGGGAAUAUUGCACAAUGGGCGCAAGCCUGAUGCAGCCAUGCCGCGUGUAUGAAGAAGGCCUUCGGGUUGUAAAGUACUUUCAGCGGGGAGGAAGGUGUUGAGGCUAAUAACCUCAGCAAUUGACGUUACCCGCAGAAGAAGCACCGGCUAACUCCGUGCCAGCAGCCGCGGUAAUACGGAGGGCGCAAGCGUUAAUCGGAAUUACUGGGCGUAAAGCGCACGCAGGCGGUCUGUCAAGUCGGAUGUGAAAUCCCCGGGCUCAACCUGGGAACUGCAUUCGAAACUGGCAGGCUAGAGUCUUGUAGAGGGGGGUAGAAUUCCAGGUGUAGCGGUGAAAUGCGUAGAGAUCUGGAGGAAUACCGGUGGCGAAGGCGGCCCCCUGGACAAAGACUGACGCUCAGGUGCGAAAGCGUGGGGAGCAAACA
rnacentral:rRNA from 1 species